rnacentral:rRNA from 1 species
GUCCACGCCCUAAACGAUGUCUACUAGUUGUCGGGUUUUAAUUAACUUGGUAACGCAGCUAACGCGUGAAGUAGACCGCCUGGGGAGUACGGUCGCAAGAUUAAAACUCAAAGGAAUUGACGGGGACCCGCACAAGCGGUGGAUGAUGUGGAUUAAUUCGAUGCAACGCGAAAAACCUUACCUACCCUUGACAUGGCAGAAAUCCCGGAGAGAUUUGGGAGUGCUCGAAAGAGAAUCUGCACACAGGUGCUGCAUGGCUGUCGU